GAUGAACGCUGGCGGCGUGCCUAAUACAUGCAAGUCGAGCGAACAGACGAGGAGCUUGCUCCUCUGACGUUAGCGGCGGACGGUUGAGUAACACGUGGAUAACCUACCUAUAAGACUGGGAUAACUUCGGGAAACCGGAGCUAAUACCGGAUAAUAUAUUGAACCGCAUGGUUCAAUAGUGAAAGACGGUUUUGCUGUCACUUAUAGAUGGAUCCGCGCCGCAUUAGCUAGUUGGUAAGGUAACGGCUUACCAAGGCAACGAUGCGUAGCCGACCUGAGAGGGUGAUCGGCCACACGGGAACUGAGACACGGUCCAGACUCCGACGGGAGGCAGCAGUAGGGAAGCUUCCGCAAUGGGCGAAAGCCUGACGGAGCAACGCCGCGUGAGUGAUGAAGGUCUUCGGAUCGUAAAACUCUGUUAUUAGGGAAGAACAAAUGUGUAAGUAACUAUGCACGUCUUGAGGGUACCUAAUCAGAAAGCCACGGCUAGCUACGUG
rnacentral:rRNA from 1 species